GACGAACGCUGGCGGCGUGCUUAACACAUGCAAGUCGAACGGAAAGGCCCUGCUUUUGUGGGGUGCUCGAGUGGCGAACGGGUGAGUAACACGUGAGUAACCUGCCCUUGACUUUGGGAUAACUUCAGGAAACUGGGGCUAAUACCGGAUAGGAGCUCCUGCUGCAUGGUGGGGGUUGGAAAGUUUCGGCGGUUGGGGAUGGACUCGCGGCUUAUCAGCUUGUUGGUGGGGUAGUGGCUUACCAAGGCUUUGACGGGUAGCCGGCCUGAGAGGGUGACCGGCCACAUUGGGACUGAGAUACGGCCCAGACUCCUACGGGAGGCAGCAGUGGGGAAUAUUGCACAAUGGGCGGAAGCCUGAUGCAGCAACGCCGCGUGCGGGAUGACGGCCUUCGGGUUGUAAACCGCUUUCGCCUGUGACGAAGCGUGAGUGACGGUAAUGGGUAAAGAAGCACCGGCUAACUACGUGCCAGCAGCCGCGGUGAUACGUAGGGUGCGAGCGUUGUCCGGAUUUAUUGGGCGUAAAGGGCUCGUAGGUGGUUGAUCGCGUCGGAAGUGUAAUCUUGGGGCUUAACCCUGAGCGUGCUUUCGAUACGGGUUGACUUGAGGAAGGUAGGGGAGAAUGGAAUUCCUGGUGGAGCGGUGGAAUGCGCAGAUAUCAGGAGGAACACCAGUGGCGAAGGCGGUUCUCUGGGCCUUUCCUGACGCUGAGGAGCGAAAGCGUGGGGAGCGAACAGGCUUAGAUACCCUGGUAGUCCACGCUGUAAACGGUGGGUACUAGGUGUGGGGUCCAUUCCACGGGUUCCGUGCCGUAGCUAACGCUUUAAGUACCCCGCCUGGGGAGUACGGCCGCAAGGCUAAAACUCAAAGGAAUUGACGGGGCCCCGCACAAGCGGCGGAGCAUGCGGAUUAAUUCGAUGCAACGCGUAGAACCUUACCUGGGUUUGACAUGGAUCGGGAGUGCUCAGAGAUGGGUGUGCCUCUUUUGGGGUCGGUUCACAGGUGGUGCAUGGCUGUCGUCAGCUCGUGUCGUGAGAUGUUGGGUUAAGUCCCGCAACGAGCGCAACCCUUGUUCACUGUUGCCAGCACGUUAUGGUGGGGACUCAGUGGAGACCGCCGGGGUCAACUCGGAGGAAGGUGGGGAUGACGUCAAGUCAUCAUGCCCCUUAUGUCCAGGGCUUCACGCAUGCUACAAUGGCUGGUACAGAGAGUGGCGAGCCUGUGAGGGUGAGCGAAUCUCGGAAAGCCGGUCUCAGUUCGGAUUGGGGUCUGCAACUCGACCUCAUGAAGUCGGAGUCGCUAGUAAUCGCAGAUCAGCAACGCUGCGGUGAAUACUUUCCCGGG
rnacentral:rRNA from 1 species